rnacentral:lncRNA from 1 species
UCUCCCUCCCCCCCUCUCUCUCUCUCUCUCUCUCUCUCUCUCAAACUCCAAUCAUGGAAGAAGUUGAAAAUUAUACCUACGUGGUGGUGGGAGGAGGCAUUGCCGGAGUCACUUGUGCUGAACACAUCAGAGAGCCCUAUCCAGCCCGAGCGAGGGGAGUACGGGGUCAAAUGUCACGGGCAAUGGGUCACCUGAGGUCACCGGAGGCGCCUCGGAUGACCCCCGGGGAUGCCCUGUGGGGAAUGGGCUGGAGGAACGCAUCGUGCAGAUAUCCACGCCCACGCACCCGGAGGAACUCCUGGCGUGUGUCAGGAAAUUGAGACAUAAGGUGUCUACGGCGGACGUGAGGAUCGUUGUGAAUACCGAGGUGUUCCACGCCCACCGCUUCCUCGUGACGCACUUCAGCAAGUUCUUCGCC